UUUCAAGAUGCAUAGCCAUGAGAAGAUUCUGCCUGAAAACUCUAUGUACUGGUCUAGCUGUCGAGGAAGUCAGCUGAGUCCUAGCUUAUCCCUUCUGUCACUUGAGUGAAUCUACUUGACCUCAAAUAGAUUAAGGACUUGCCCAAUAACAAACGGAAAAUCAGUUGCAAAGAGAUUGUGAAAAGAGCCAUCACUAACCCUCUCACUGGAAAUCGCUGACUUGUAUUAUAUGUAGUACACCUGGGCACUUUUGCACCUGGGCUCAUCUCUUGAUGUCUUAUAGUGGCAAUGGUGAGAAGAGACAGAAGGAAAACCUAAAGGACAAAAAAA